rnacentral:rRNA from 1 species
UACGAAGGGUGCAAGCGUUACUCGGAAUUACUGGGCGUAAAGGGUGCGUAGGUGGUUUGUUAAGUCUGUCGUGAAAGCCCCGGGCUCAACCUGGGAAUGGCGAUGGAUACUGGCGAGCUAGAGUGCGGUAGAGGGGAGUGGAAUUCCCGGUGUAGCAGUGAAAUGCGUAGAGAUCGGGAGGAACAUCAGUUGCGAAGGCGGCUCUCUGGACCAGCACUGACACUGAGGCACGAAAGCGUGGGGAGCAAACAGG